AAAUUUUAAGUUCUUUCAAGAAUUAUCAUCAUAAAAAAUGCUACCACUGUGAACAGGUUCUUUGAAAAAACGCAUAACUUUAAAACACUUGAACGACGAAGAAAUAAAAAUAUUAAAUGGUUUGAGUGUGGACAAUGUCUUUACAAAACUAAACAACAUUUUGAUUUAAAAUCCCACAUAAGUAUGCGCCAUUCAGACAAAAAGGAUCUCAAGUGGUACGAAUGUGAAGACUUUUCGUACAAAACGGAAUACCACUCCAACUUGACGAGCCACAUAAAAUCGCGCCACUUACAUGCAGACUCCGUUAAAUGGUUCAAAUGUGACAACUGUCCUUAUCAAAGUAAAUUUUCUUCAAACUUAAAAAACCACGUAAACACCCACCACUUGAACGAAGCAUCAAGGGGUACGAAUGCAAGCGGUGUCCAUACAGAGCUAAAGAGAAUUCUUGCUUGAAAACACACGUAAAUGCGCGCCAUGUGGAUCAGCGGGAUAUCAAAUGUUGAAGCGUCACGUGAGAAUUCUUUAGUGAAGUUUUUGAUAACCAACUCUUUUUCAUCACUGAAUUACGAAACAAAAGUAAUUUUAAAAAAUAAUGGAAAACCGACACCUUCUUUGCCAGAUUUGACCGUUAAGGAUGGAUCCAAGUGUCGUUCGUUUACUAAAGAUUGGUAAAAAAUGUGAAUGGUUAACUGGUAGUAUUUAUAAUAAUAAGCUGUUUUGUUGGUUUUUUAUUCUUUUUAGUAAAUUUAACGCCGAAAAUCAAAACUGGGUAAAAAAUGGAUUUUCUGACUUAAAAAAUUUGUCAAGAGCUAUUGGUCGCCACUCUUGCUCAGCAGAACACAUUUCCGCGCAUGUAAAAUAUCAGAUGUUAGGCAAAUCAAACAAUAUUGCUAAUAUGCUCGAUAAUGCCAGGAAAAUUGAAAUAGAAAAUUAUAAUCAAAAAGUUACCGAAAAUCGAAUUGCCUUUCAGAGGACAUGAUGAAAGAAUAGAAUCAAAUAACAGGGGGAAUUUUCGGGAAUUAGUGUCAUUAAUGUCUAAUUACAAUGAAAAAUAUGAAUUGAGGGGUCAGAUUUUUCAGGUACCUCAAAAACCAUUCAAAAUGACAUUAUUGAAUCCACUGCGUUCGUAUUUCAAUCUGAGAUCCAUAAGGAAAUUUUUGAUAACCCAUUCUUUUCGUGGCAAGUUGAUGAGACAACAGAUAUAGCCUGUAAAUCCCAGUUGUAUGUAAUAUUUCGUUAUGUCGUUGGAGGGAAUCCCGUAGAGCGCUUUCUGUUUUUUUUUUCGAUGUUAGUGCAGGUCGUUCAGCAAACGAUUUGUACAAUUUAUUAAUUAAUGAAGUCUCAAAAUUUAAUUUAAAUACGAAGCUCAUAUCUUAGACAUAUGAUGGGGCAGCGGUAAUGGCUGGAGAACUUAAUGGGCUUCAAGCCAAAAUAAAGACAAUUGCCCCUCAAGCACGUUUUUUUCAUUGUUAUGCCCAUAAUUUAAAUUUAGUUUUAAGCGAUGCAACCAAAAGCUGCCGGGAUGUCCGUAUAUUUUUUCAAAAUUUGACGGGUUUUUCAUCUUUUUUUUCAAAA